UACCAGCACCCCGAGUGGUCGGGACGUUUUAUUGGGCCUAAAGCAUCCGUAGCCGGUUCUACAAGUCUUCCGUUAAAUCCAGCUGCUUAACAGAUGGGCUGCGGAAGAUACUAUGGAGCUAGGAGGCGGGAGAGGCAAGCGGUACUCGAUGGGUAGGGGUAAAAUCCGUUGAUCCAUUGAAGACCACCAGUGGCGAAGGCGGCUUGCCAGAACGC
rnacentral:rRNA from 1 species